rnacentral:tRNA from 1 species
CCGCCCUUAGCUCAGCUGGAUAGAGCGUCCCCCUCCUAAGGGGAAGGUCCCCCGUUCGAAUCGGGGAGGGCGGACCA